AUCCAGCUUGACGAGUCCUAAAUAGGACGAAAUGAACGUGCUGGAU
rnacentral:hammerhead_ribozyme from 1 species